UCUUGUGGAAGUACGUCAUUAUGAACAAGAGAUAGGGGUUGGUGCAUUCUCCUGUUGUGUUUUAGCAGUUAGGUUUUUUCAGCAACAUGCUAGUGGUCGUGGUCUUGCGGGUGAGCGACCAUUCAUAUUGCUACAUGCAGGUGUAAUUGCACAUCCAGGGGUUUCCAGUAACUUGGUUGGAGACCAAUGUACAUCAGGGACGUGAUUGCACUGCUGCUUUGUUUUUAGUGUUUGUUGGGUGACCAUUUUAACUUUGUCUGGCUUGGUCUUAUUUUGGUUAAUUGUGUGUGUGUGUGUGGUUUUUUUUUUUUGCUUUUAAUCCUUCAUGAGCAGCCAUUCAUUAACGUGUGUGUGAGUCAGCUGGGAGGCAAGUAAGAUAUUUGGCCUUGGUCUGCCAUUUCAUUCCUCCCGUUGGUGCAUAUGACUGCUCAUUUUAAUUUUAGUUUCUUGUUGUUUUUCACUGAUUGUACUAGUAGUAGAAUCUCUGUGUGUGUGGGCUCCAUUUGAGUAGAUUGUUCUGUUGUGGUAGAGAAGUGAGAAUUUUGUAUUUUUGAAUGCGUUUAUUUUGAAGUUUGUAACAGUUGUCAUUUAGGAGUAGAGACUUUUUUAAAGUGGGGGUUGCAGUCUUUUAGCGUGUCCACCUGGAGUGCGGUGCUUAACCAAUUGUAUUGCUUUCACAACUGU